AAACGGAGAGUAGUAGUUGAAACCUGGGAGAAACGUACCCGUACAAAAAAGUUUCGCAUGAACAUACUUUAUUUGACAUAACCAAAAGUCAAAUAUAGACAGGUAACAAAACGAGUGUAGUGUUUAAAAAUAUCGAUCUUUCAGGCCUCAAGCCACGUUAGCUUUGUGUAUAAGGUCAGGUCGUAACUAUCAAAUAGGGAUAACCUGUACGUAUAGAAGGAGCUACUCAUACCGUCUUAGGUUGUAGGCAAGCAGGAGAUAUAACCCCGAGGUACCGACGGUUAGUUGUCUCGUUCUGGCCUCUGGUGGGAGAGGAGGAGGUUAAACCUCGAGGUACCGGCGGUAAACUAUCCGCGUGAUGGCAGCAACGGAGGAGUGGCGGAGUGGACCCUCUCGCGUCCGUCGCUAUAACGGGUACUGAGCGGAGUACAAGCCAAUUGUUCUACAUCAAGGUAAUCCAGGCAACGAGGAGAAUGUACGUCUCGGAUCCUUAUAAGCUUUGACGUCCAUACGCUCUUCUUUAUAAGAUUUAAUCGUCCGUCGUUUAACUGGUCCAAAUGUUCGAUAAUCUACACGUAAAAAUUCUACGUCAUCAGUAUGAAAGAUGACCUUAAACUGAAUAUUAAGAUUUUUAAACGACUCGUUACGCAGUUGUCUUACGUCGACGUUGAACUAAAUAAAAUACAGUUAACCUGAGAUCUACUUCUGCUUGUGUAGACAAAGAUCUUACAACUGGACAAAGACAUACGUUUUACUUGAUAACCAUGAAAUAUUUUGACUUUAUACCGUUACCAACGACUGUUCCUUAAACACGAAUUACCUAAAGAUAAAAGAGGGAGUAAACUUGGUAUGACUUCUACUAUGCCAGUUUAAUAAACUCCACCGAAUAGGACCAAAUAAAAACAGUAUACUUCACGGUUUAUAGUUAUAAGAUGUAAACGACGGUUAUAAAAUGUUUAAUCGAAGUAAAUAAAUGACCACACGCAGAAAAAAAAGAACU
rnacentral:rRNA from 1 species